AUCAGAUACUACCUCAAAUUGAAAUUUGCAAAACAGAAGUCUUCUAGGAAACCAAUCAGAACUUUGCUCAUCAUCUUUUAUUAUUGAACAUUUAUUACAUAGUUACAUAGCUGAAAAGAGACUUGCGUCCAUCAAGUUCAGCUGUCCUCACAUAUGUUUUUGCUGUUGAUUCAAAAGAAGGCACAAAACCUGGUCUGAAGCGCUUCCAAUUUUGCAACAAACUAGGAAAGAAUUCCUUCUUGACCCCAAAAUAGCAGUCAGAUGUCUCCUUGGAUCAAGCAGCUAUUACCCCACUAAUUAGAAAUGAUAUCCCUGUAUGCUGUGUUUUUGCAAGUAUUUAUCCAAUUGCAGUUUAAACAUCUAUAUAUACUCUGACAAAACCACCUCUUCAGGCAGAGAAUUCCAUAUCCUUAUUGCUCUUGCUGUAAAAAAAACCUUUUCUUUGCCUUAGAUGAAAUCUCCUUUCUUCCAGCCUAAAUGUGUGACCUCAUGUCGUAUGUUUUGCCCUGUUUAUGAAUAGAUUUGCAGAUUUAUGUAUAUAAAACAAAUUUAUUUCAAACACCUGUCACACUUCUGAUGAAACCCCAUGGCGAAUCACGUUAAGUGUGUUUUUAUACUUUCAUUUUGGUUGAUAUCUUA